GGCAAACAGUGCACUGCACCGAAGCCCCUGAGAAUCAGUGUUGGGGCUUGUUGGAGAGUUUCUGGGCAAGUUUACAGUACUGAAGGAGAAAAUGGGAAUCUGACCCGAGUGAGGAAAAGCAUUUCAAAACACUGUGUCUGUGGAGGGCCAAUUAGGUUGCUCACUGGACACAUCGCAGAGGAAAAUGCCCAGACUGUUCAGACACACGGAGAGGCUCAGCCCAAGCAGAAAAGAAACCUGAGCUUCCAAGAAGUAACUGGACUCACAGGACACAGUGUGUGAGGGACACACCCCUCAGAAGGGAAGCAUGACAUUUCUCACCCUUAGCAGCUGAGGUCGUCACAGAAGUCCUUUCUGAACCAGACCCACCUUCCCGUGCCAGGCUGGCUUUGUACAGUGUCCCAUUGGAUGUCUAAAGUGCCUAACUUCAUUAGAGUAGAAAAAACAUUUGCUUCUUGCUAGGCUCAUGAAAACUUUCCAAUAACAAGGUUGGCUGACUUCUAAUAUCUUUGAACAUUUAGUAUUUGACUGUAGGUUCCAAACUAUUAUCUGUCAGUAGGAUUCUAAUCUCUCCUUAAUCAGACUGCUCAGAAGGAAAAAAAAACAUGGUAACAUGGUGUAUUUUUUUAAGUGGUU
rnacentral:lncRNA from 1 species